AGAUGAGCAUGCGUCCCAUUAGCUAGUUGGUAAGGUAACGGCUUACCAAGGCAACGAUGGGUAGGGGUCCUGAGAGGGAGAUCCCCCACACUGGUACUGAGACACGGACCAGACUCCUACGGGAGGCAGCAGUGAGGAAUAUUGGUCAAUGGGCGCAAGCCUGAACCAGCCAUGCCGCGUGCAGGAUGACGGUCCUAUGGAUUGUAAACUGCUUUUGCACAGGAAGAAACACUCGGUCGUGACCGAGCUUGACGGUACUGUGAGAAUAAGGAUCGGCUAACUCCGUGCCAGCAGCCGCGGUAAUACGGAGGAUCCAAGCGUUAUCUGGAAUCAUUGGGUUUAAAGGGUCCGUAGGCGGCCAGAUAAGUCAGUGGUGAAAGCCCAUCGCUCAACGAUGGAACGGCCAUUGAUACUGUUUGGCUUGAAUUAUUUGGAAGUAACUAGAAUAUGUAGUGUAGCGGUGAAAUGCUUAGAGAUUACAUGGAAUACCAAUUGCGAAGGCAGGUUACUACAAAUUGAUUGACGCUGAUGGACGAAAGCGUGGGUAGCGAACAGGAUUAGAUACCCUGGUAGUCCACGCCGUAAACGAUGGAUACUAGCUAUUGGGAGCAAUCUCAGUGGCUAAGCGAAAGUGAUAAGUAUCCCACCUGGGGAGUACGUUCGCAAGAAUGAAACUCAAAGGAAUUGACGGGGGCCCGCACAAGCGGUGGAGCAUGUGGUUUAAUUCGAUGAUACGCGAGGAACCUUACCAAGGCUUAAAUGUAGAUUGACCGGUUUGGAAACAGACUUUUCGCAAGACAAUUUACAAGGUGCUGCAUGGUUGUCGUCAGCUCGUGCCGUGAGGUGUCAGGUUAAGUCCUAUAACGAGCGCAACCCCUGUUGUUAGUUGCCAGCGAGUCAUGUCGGGAACUCUAGCAAGACUGCCAGUGUAAACUGUGAGGAAGGUGGGGAUGACGUCAAAUCAUCACGGCCCUUACGCCUUGGGCUACACACGUGCUACAAUGGCCGGUACAGAGAGCAGCCACU
rnacentral:rRNA from 1 species